rnacentral:rRNA from 1 species
GUGCUUGUGGAGACAAACAAGCAUGAACAAUAUCAUAUUGUUUACAAGCUUCUUAAUUUGGUAUUGAUUCUGCCAGUAGCUACUGCUAGUGUUGAAAGGGUAUUCUCUUCAAUGAGCCAUGUGAAGAAUAAGCUAAGGAGCAAAAUGGGUGAUGAAUAUUUGAACAAUUGUUUGGUUACAUUUGUUGAGAGAGAACUUUUCAAUCAAGUGAAGGAUGAAGAUGUCAUCAAUCUCUUCCAAAAAGGCGACCGCAAAGUUAUAUUGUAA